rnacentral:rRNA from 1 species
UGCGAAGAGUGCAAAGGCAAAAGGGAGCUUGAUUGCGAGACCAACAAGUCGAGCAAAGACGAAAGUCGGGCUUAGUGAUCCGGUGGUAGAAAGUGGAAUUGCCAUCGCUCAACGGAUAAAAGCUACCCUGGGGAUAACAGGCUGAUCUCCCCCAAGAGUUCACAUCGACGGGGAGGUUUGGCACCUCGAUGUCGGCUCAUCACAUCCUGGGGCUGGAGUAGGUCCCAAGGGUUGGGCUGUUCGCCCAUUAAAGUGGUACGCGAGCUGGGUUCAGAACGUCGUGAGACAGUUCGGUCCCUAUCCGUCGCAGGCGUUGGAUAUUUGAGAGGAGCUAUCCUUAGUACGAGAGGACCGGGAUGGACGCACCACUGGUGUACCAGUUGUCUUGCCAAAGGCACAGCUGGGUAGCUAUGUGCGGUUAAGAUAAGUGCUGAAGGCAUCUAAGCACGAAGCCAACCUCAAGAUAAGAUAUCCCAUACGCAAGUAGUAAGACCCCAUUAAGAACAAGUGGUAGAUAGGCAAGGAGUGGAAGUGCAGUAAUGUAUGUAGCUGACUUGUACUAAUAGGUCGAGGACUUAACCU